ensembl:lncRNA NOP14-AS1 NOP14 antisense RNA 1
GUACAUCUCUGCACGUUCUCUUCCGGCCGGAGUCAGUGGCGGGGUUCUCGCCGGUCCUGCGGGUCGCUGCUUGGCUGUGGGUUAGCAGCACCCUGAGCGGAGCGGAAGAGCUGCCCGCCGCCGCGUAACCCCGAGGCCGAGACUCCUGGCCUGGCCUCCUUGGGCCCACGACGCCUGCCCCGCGGAGCGGACCCAUGGGCCUGAGGUUUGUGUGCGGGGCCUCAGGCGAGCGCUGGCGCAGCCUGUCCCCCAUCGUCUGCGCCCUGCGGGCCUGGCCCUCCCCGUGGAAGGACCGCGGGCUUCGGGGCCCCACGCUGGGGGGCUGACUCCUGCCACACACACAGCGGUGGCCGCGGGCCUGGGGCGGCAGCACAGCCAUUCUGCUCGGGCUGCGUGAGCUGACCCCGCUCUCUGUGCACCUACUUUUGCUGCGUUUGGUGCUGAGCCUGAAGUCCCAGGACAGGCGGCUGAGGGGGAAAGAUGGUGUGAAUUGGGUGGGCAGAGACAACUGAAAGCCACAGGACCCGGUUGGCACCUUUUUGGCCGCCUGCGCCUUUGCCUGCAGCCCCGCUCCCUGGGUCACCCGAAGGAGGAGCUGGCGCUCUUUCCGGGCGCAGAAGCACCCGACCCACGCUGGAGGAAACGGUCCCUCUGGGCAGGAGAAGCUUUGGGCCUGGCUGGAGCACACUCACGGAACCACGCCAACGCCUGGCCUGUAGCCAGCUCCCACCUCCCCUCCCACCUUCUAAAAUGCUUGCGGAUCUCACGUGGCCGACCCUAACCAGAUACACAUGGGGAAAGGAAUCAGGUGGCACACAUACCGCCUUUACUCCAUAGAGAACUUCCAAUUGUGGGUAAGAACAAAGCCCCACCUCUUCCUAAUAGAUGCAGUUUUCCACCUGCAGCCAAAAAGACAACCUGUUAUUAGCUUUUUUCCCAGAGGACAGGCAUCUCUAUGAAACUGCCAUUGCAAAAUUUGCCGACAGUGAGAUAACCAGCUCCAUUUUGCUUCUAACCUCCAUGCCCUCCUUGUUUACUGCUGCACGCAGGUUGAACUGUGGGAGGAACUUAGUUUAAAACAAAGAUGAUAACAGCCCUUUCCCAAAGGAAACCUUUCCUGGGGAUUAGCCUGCUUUUGUGGGACCAACAGAUUAGCCACAAGAUUAGAAACUACGGUUGAAGAGUCACGCAGCGGGAGGCUACAGGAUUCUGACCCUCCCCAAACUGCUCCUGGCGAUAACAUCACCAUCGUAAAGCCUAAGAUCAGCACUUGGUGGGUCACCUGGCACCACCCAGGCUCAUCUGAUGUUGUGGCACCCAGGAACUGACUCAGUGCGAAAACAGCUUCGACUCCCUGUGAUUUCAUCUCUGACCUGACCAAUGGGUACUUCUGACUCACUGGCUGCCCCCCACCCACCAGCUUAUCUUUAAAAACUCCAAACCCCAGAUGCUCAGGGAGACCGAGUAAUAAUAAAACUCCAGUCUCCCACACAGCUAGCUCUGCGUGAAUUACCUUUUCUCUGUUGCAAAUGCCCUUUCUUGAUAAAUUGGCUGUCUAGGUAACAGGGAAGGUGAACCCACUGGGCAGUUACACUUUUAUCCACCCUUCCAGCUGGAUCACGCGCCCUCUUCAAUGACAUGACACGCAGCUAGAGUGUAUGAGCUUGCUGCCGGCACCUUCCGUCCUGGAUCGCAUAGCAAGGCCUCAAUGGACAGCCAGGUGCCUGGUCCGGUCCCACUUUUUUUUCUGUCCUGUUCUCGUUUCCUCUUUGCUUGGCCAAAGAGGGUUGGGCCAGGGUCCUGAGUGCAAAGGCUUGGCUUGGUGAAUUAAAGUGGCAGUAGCCGUGUGGCAGAGAAAAUUUGUAGAUGGGUGAAAUCCUGGGCCUACACAGUGACAAAGUGUAUAUAGACAGCCAGCCUAGUUGGUGGAUGUGACAACCCCAGACUCUUCUAGAUUUGUGGAUCCGUGCACCUGCCAGACCUGUCUCUGAGCCAUCUGGGGAGGCUGGGUAAGAUUUCCCCCGUCAGGGCCUGAGCCUCAUCUCCAAGCUGCUGGCUUCAGCCCAGCUGCCACCAGCGCUGUCUCUGUCUUGCGCUUUCCAGAGAGAGACUGACUCAUUUUGAGCUCCAGGCCUACCAGGCAGCCCAACCGCGGCAGUAACUGCCUCUCACACUGAGGAUGGCUCAUGCUCUGGUCCAGCCAUGGCUUGAACACCUCCCAACAAGAACAAAGCCAGACUCAUUCUCCCUAGCAUCUUCUUCCUUGCUCAAAGAUCCCACACCCCGUUAGAAGCUGGAACUGGGUCCUUGUCACCUUCCUCACCUCCCCAGUCGUAGUCUGGUUAAUCCUUACAUCUCACCACGGUCACCGUGGCUAGAUGUGACCUCCGCGAUGCUUCAGGCACGUACCAGGGCAGCCUGGGCAGGGCUGGUCACUGUGAUCUCAUGAGGUGUGAACUUGACCCCGGCCUUCUUUCCUGGGAUGCCGGCUAAGGACACAAGUUCAGUGUUUGCCCUGGCUUGUAGCCCAGCGGGGGCUCCGUCAUCCCCUGGGGAAUGCCUCGGCCUGCAAGACCGCAUACCGCAUUGGAACAGGGAAACCACCUACUUCAGCACCUCCCUCAGCAAGGUGGCAGGUCCCAACAAGCCUUGCACCACGAGGAAGUGGCAGUGGCAUUCGGGAUAUGGCUCCCUGGCCAGCUUGUGAAGUUCAAGGGGCUCGUUACUUCUUACAGCUCACAGUCCCUCCCGGGUCCAGCACACCUGAGGGCUGACCUCCCUCUUGAUUAGUGCAGGGGAAAAGCACUUUAAAAAGCUGUGUCAUGCGUAACUUGCACAUCUUCUGAUUCUGACCUGAAACUGCAUCCCAGGUCGGCACAGACGCAACCCAGUCUCCUCCCACCUCCGAGAGUGCAGUGUCCUGAAUGGAGAACCCCAGCACCCAGAAGCAUCCACUGAAGGACGUACUUCUUUGAUAGUGCCUCCAUGCAUGCAGAAGAUGACGUGGAGAGCUCCGCGCGGCACAGGGCAGGAAGCUGGUGUGCACUCUCAUGGAUCCGAAGCCAACACACGCCUCUCAACUGAGGACUCUGCCCCUCUGGCAUUCUUCCAGCCACCAGCCCUGGGGGCCAGGAGCCACUGAGUGGGUCACACAGCCUUAGAGGGCAACGAGGGCAGGAGCUCGCCCUGGCGGUCCCCAUGCAGACAAGAGGGUCACUGGCUUCCUUGCUUUGCUCUUCCUGGACAUCUUCCUCGACAUUCAUCUUUCCAUCCUACCAAGAGCGUGGAAACCACAGGGCAUGAGGACAGGCGGAGACAACGCUGGACCAUCUCACAGCCACAUCAAGAGGCUGCCCACAUCAGGGCUUUCUACGUGGUUGCAAGGAACACAAACCUGUGUGCUCCAUUUGCCCACUGGCACUAGGCCUCCUGCCCACCACCCGCUUCUAGGCUAUUCGAGCCGCAGGAGCUACAGGCUGCUAGAGAACCCUGCGGCAGGAUGCUGGGCGCGGUUCAGCUUUUGCCAGGGAGCAGCAUGGGACUGGGAUUUGGAAGGUGUACAGUGGCUGCGGGCUUUAGCAGGAGGAGUGUCUACAGCACCUUCUGCUCCUCCAGGUAACCUAGUGUUUUUAUCAGUAUCCAUUUUCCUGUGUGGAUCUCUUCUGCUUGAAACCUGUCCUGCCUAUUUUUCUUCCCUGGACCCUGACUGAUACACUCUUAAAACGAGAAAAGGGUACCGAUUUAUAAAGUUCGUGAAUUAAAAACUACACCAGUCAUGGAAACUCAAUGACAUCACUCAAAGAAAAUUCACAACUCUAGCCUUGAGUUAGCUCCCUCAAUAGUAUGAUGAGGUCAUGCAGAUAGAAUCAUACAGUUAUUAACAAAAGUAGUUGAUGUUAACCGAGUAAUCAGUUUUAUCUGUGUUCCUUUGAGACAGAGAGAGAGAGUGAGAAAGAGAGCGUGAGCAAGUGAGUGCACAUACUAUUGUUAAAGUCUUCUCUCUAAAGUUUUAAUAUCUGAUAUACCAUAAACACCCAGAUAAAGAACUUUAGAGAAACUGGUUAAAAAGAUUUAAAAUUCCCAACUGUAAUAAAUCCCUAAAAUGAAUACCAAAAAAAUGUUUUUAAAUUAAAAAAAGAGAGAGAAAGAGAAAAUGAAGGCAAACAUCUUACUUUGUAGGAAAGCAAACGCCUGUCAUCUUUAUCUAGCACGAAGCCAUCAUUCAGAUCAUCUGCUGACAUAUGUUUUGGUUUCUUAACAUUUUCAUCCUCAUCCUUUCCAAGCAUUCUUCGAAGUCUCUCAGCCUGAGCAGGAAGGAAUGAGAUGUCUUAGAGCACACUCUUCCAACAUAUGGUGAGGGGGCCGUGCAGUCCUGCCCUGGGCAGCGGGCUGGGCCUACGGUCCUCCCAGCUCUGAGGCUGGUGCAUCCAGCCUGCUUUCUGCCUGCAGUUUUCAAUCAGGCAUGCAAACACUAGCUAAGCAGCACAUUCCUCAUUUAACAAAAUCAACUGUUCAAACUUUGUGGCCAAUACUCUCCAGUCACCAGGCAAGCCUAUUAUUCUGAGGCCUUCACAGCCCAAUUCUGCUGGCCAGCCCCGACUGGGACUCAUCACCCCCUGCACCGAGAGAAUAGGAGCCAGGACGCCAAGAGCAAGCAGCUCCACGGCCUCCACUAUUUGACCACACACUGGACACGGGAAGAAGCUAGUGAUGUGGUUAUGUCAAAACAGCCAGCUGAGCCAGCUGUGAUGGCAGCCCACACCUGUAACCCCAGCACUGUGGGAGGCCGUGGUGGGAGGAUCAGCUGAGACCAGGAGUUUGAGAACAGCCUAGGCAACAUAGGGAGAUGCUCAUCUAUACAAACAAUUUUUGAAAAUUAGCUGGGGCCAGGCGCGGUGGCUCACACCUGUAAUCCCAGCACUUUGGGAGGCCGAGGUGACUGGAUCACCUGAGGUCAGGAGUUCAAGACCGCCUGGCCAACAUGGCGAAAUCCUAUCUCUACUAAAAAUACAAAAAUUAGCCGGGCGUGGUGGCAGGCGCCUGUAAUCCUAGCUACUCAGGAGGCUGAGGCAGGAGA